GAGCGGACGGAGGAGUGGAAAGCCUUCGUCGAGACGGUACCGAGAGAGGAAGCCCCGGCUAACUACGUGCCAGCAGCCGCGGUAAUACGUAGGGGGCAAGCGUUGUCCGGAAUCACUGGGCGUAAAGCGUGCGUAGGCGGUCGCGUGUGUCUGGGGUGAAAGUCCAGGGCUCAACUCUGGGAUUGCCUUGGAAACUGCGUGACUUGAGUACUGGAGAGGCAAGGGGAAUUCCGCGUGUAGCGGUGGAAUGCGUAGAUAUGCGGAGGAAUACCAGUGGCGAAGGCGCCUUGCUGGACAGUGACUGACGCUGAGGCAC
rnacentral:rRNA from 1 species